AUGGAGGCCCAAUAUGAGUGAGUACUCAACAUAUUUCCGGGCGGUACCACUGCCGGGGGGGGGGGGGCGGGGAGCGCUGCCUCAACGUGACCAUCUAUCUGUACCGAGGGGAGACAGUUCACUUCCUGCGGGUCCUGCGCUGUCGCUGCCCGGGCGACACGAGUCUGGCGGUUGGGAGGGCAUGGGCUUGGCAUUCCAAGGAGCCUGGAUCGAGUUGGCGAGUUGGCGACUGCCCUGGCCGUCCUGGCCUCGGUCAGCGCCAGAGGAGGGCUGCCAGGGCACUGGCAACCAGGAUGCUGAGCCCCUGGGGUGGGGUAGGGGGAAAGGUGUGUGUGGGGGGGCGGGGGGGUUGUUUCGAGGCUGCAGUCCCCUUCUCCCUCACGACCCCAGGCCUUGCUACCUCUUGGGGAGCAACCACGCUUCCUGUGGAAGAACGGAUGUAUCCACAGAUGAGGUAUGCCCCCACUCACCCGGUUCACUGGAUUGACUGCCCCCAGAGAUUCCCAAGGUCAAGACUGUAGUGUGGAAGCACCAGGCACCAGAAGUCAGAGAUCUAGGCUACCUGCGCUUGCUAUGGACUCGAUCUCCUGGGGAGACUUUCCAUGGGGAACAGAGUGCCUUCAAGGCCCGAGUUAGCACCCUCCUGACACUACUACCCCCUCCAGUUCUGAAAUGCCCGUAGUUCACUGUGGCUGGAAAACACUUGACCAUGUUCAAGGUGCUGAUCUCUUCCCACAAAGUGCACUCGGUCUGGGAUAUCCGAAUCCUCCCCGGCUUUAACGCCAGUUAUCUGCCUGUCAUGCCUUGGUGGCUCUGUGCUGCCACAGUGUCUGUCAGCAGUCUGGGGGAAGUCUCCAUGGGCUCCUUCUGUGGGCUUCCUGGUAUCUCUGGUUACUUCCCCCUGUCCAUUUAGUGCCCUGGAGGAACACAACUUCCUGUUUCAGCUGAGAUGGUUCAGUUGAGCAGCCCCCUCUGGAGAUCUUGAGGUCUCCUUGAUUGCCGUGGUUCAGUGGUCCACAGCAAAGCUGCCCUUCACCCGGAACAUCCACACUCACUUCUGCCUAGAGUACCCCUGCUUCGUGGUGACUGCUUCUUGUGAAUCCCAUGUUCAGACCUACGAGCGUUUCCCUCGAAACGUAGCACGUCCCCUACAAGCUGCUCAGCAACCUCCAAGACUUCCUUGCUGUGAGGCUUGUGUGGACCACGGAACACAUACAGGCUGGAAAGCAUAUGGCCAUGCUGACAGCCCUAGUCUCCACACUCCUCAAUCACCUUAGCUUCUCCGGUCAGGGCAGCACACUUAACUUUCAGUGUGGCCUUCCAGGCCCUAAGGACAGGACCAGUCAGGACUCUUAGCUCUAGAGAGGAAAUAAAUGUCUUAGGUAGCACUAGAAAGCUGGGCACCGGGAACCCAGUCCAACCUGGGUCUGAGAAGGACUGCAUCUUCCUACCCAGCUGAGCCAGCACAGGAAACUGAAGCUCUAGUUCACUGCCAGUGUGCCCCACCCUCUGCCUGAGGCCUGGCCCCUGCCUCAAAGAGCUGCCCCAGCCUCCUGCUGUCCAAGACUUGGUGGAGAGGCACCAGGCCAGCAUGGAUCAUUCUCACUCUUCCUCCCACCCACAGCCUUCCGGGAGCCACCUCAUGAGGUAAGGGACCAGGACUGAUGUCAGUCUGAUCAAGAAGGGAGUUGGGGUGAGGAGCAGGCCACGGAGUGGGGAUGCUAUACCCCCACAGAGUCCACAGUCUCUGUCUUCUUCCAGGUUGGGCAGUGUGAUAGAACGCAUGGCCCUGUGGUCUCCCCUGAUGGUCAUCCCCUCUACCUGCCCCAGGUCAAGGCUGUGCUUUCCCUAGACAAAAUUGUCAAGAGUGUAAUGUUCUGGUGGUGGAGCCC
rnacentral:lncRNA from 1 species